UACAGAGGGGGCAAGCGUUGUUCGGAUUCAUUGGGCGUAAAGGGUGCGUAGGCGGCGCGGUAAGUCGGGUGUGAAAUCUCGGGGCUUAACUCCGAAACUGCAUUCGAUACUACCGUGCUUGAGGACUGGAGAGGAGACUGGAAUUUACGGUGUAGCGGUGAAAUGCGUAGAUAUCGUAAGGAAGACCAGUGGCGAAGGCGGGUCUCUGGACAGUUCCUGACGCUGAGGCACGAAGGCCAGGGGAGCGAACAGG
rnacentral:rRNA from 1 species